UCAAGGGUUUUCUUCAAAACCACAACCAGAAAUAAGAGAAUAUGG
rfam:Picea glauca, whole genome shotgun sequence.